rnacentral:rRNA from 1 species
GUGGGGAAUUUUGGACAAUGGGGGCAACCCUGAUCCAGCCAUUCCGCGUGAGUGAAGAAGGCCUUCGGGUUGUAAAGCUCUUUCGGCAGGAACGAAACGGUGAGCUCUAACAUAGCUCGCUAAUGACGGUACCUGAAGAAGAAGCACCGGCUAACUACGUGCCAGCAGCCGCGGUAAUACGUAGGGUGCGAGCGUUAAUCGGAAUUACUGGGCGUAAAGCGUGCGCAGGCGGUUGUGUAAGACAGGUGUGAAAUCCCCGGGCUUAACCUGGGAACUGCGCUUGUGGCUGCACGGCUAGAGUAUGGCAGAGGGGGGUGGAAUUCCACGUGUAGCAGUGAAAUGCGUAGAUAUGCGGAGGAACAACGAUGGCGAAGGCAAUCCCCUGGGCCUGUACUGACGCUCAUGCACGAAAGCGUGGGGAGCAAACAGGAUUAGAAACCCGGGUAGUCC